AUGAGGUCAGGUGGAAGUGUGUUCUUAGAGAGUGCAUGCAUCUCUAAGAUGAAGGAAUUUAGCUCUAUACGGGAUGACGCACCAAGAUGGGUAUUAAACAGAGCUAUAACUUAUUUGGAACAUGAUAUGAUAUACAUUCCAGUUAACAUUGAACACUUCCAUUGGUACCUAGCAGUUAUAAAUGUCGGGCAGCGAUGCAUCCAGGUGCUCGACUCGCUAGGCCCAGGAAUGAGCCGCAAAGACCUCACCGCUAUGCUCAAAGGACUAGAAAAUGUAUUCGAAUAUGCAUCGCUUCAAGUGGAACUAAAAACUGAUAAGUGGAAAGACUUAAACAUCUCAUCAUGGCCAAGGGAAGAGUGUAUUAAGAGCAAACUACAAAAUUUUAGAACAAAACUAGCUGUCAUUUUAGUGGACUCGGAAUUGAAUGAUGAUAAUAUAAGAAAUCGAGACAUUGAAGAUGACGAAAACAACAUAGAUCCCACGGAAUGUAUGAUUCUGGAUAGACCUCCUGAGAAUUUCAAAACAUCAAAUACAUCAGGAGAAGUCAAGCUCAUCUCGCGGUCAUUUAUCCUUUCACCGUUUGUCAAUCCAACAAAUGAUGAUUUAAUAGAUGAACUUUGCUUGUUCAUCGAAAGUCAUCGUGAAAAUAUGGAAAUUGCUACAUUGAGACGGUUGUUUCAUAGCUGGCCUGACAGUAAUGAUUACCAUAUCUCACAAUGUGAUGAGAUUUUAUUGCCUUGGUGUAUGUUUGGGCUAUUUCUAUUGUUUGUGUUGGAUCAAAAUAAAAAGGUUGUCUCAAUUUUUGAUCCGUUACCAAUACCUACUUUGGGGAAUAACGUACUUCAAAUUGUGGCCGACAACCUAAACCUCGCGCUUGAAGUUGCAAACCCUGCAUUCAAGGAUGAUAUCUCUAAAUGGGAAUCCUUAGUUUCUGUUGCUCCAACAAACUCACACUGGUGUGAAUCUUUUAAACGCAUUACAAUAUUAAUUGAUUCAUUCAACACACAUUAUGUGUUUAUUUCAUACAUGUAG
rnacentral:rRNA from 1 species